UGGUGAUAUGAGUUGCUGAAUUCUGAAGGUAAACGACAACCCAUGAUAAAUUCAAAAUUGACUUGUUUUUAAUGAACCCAAGUAAUUUUUGGGUCAUGGUAAAAAACAUGUGAUAUGGCAAAUUAAAGCUAUUUUGUACUAUCAAAAAAUACAUUUUUGUUGACAGUCAGAUUAUGUCAUGGCAAAUUAAAGGUACCAUCAGAAAUAAAUUGUUGUUAACAGUCAGAUAGACCUACACUCAGGGCAGUUUAGACCUAUAUAUGUGUGGUUUGACUUAUGUGUUUACAUGUUCACAUUUUAUCUUGUAGUUUAUUGUGUUGUUGGGUUUCUAUCUCUAGAAUGCAUACCUAAAAUCUUUUUUAAAAAAAAAAGGAAAAGCAGAACCAACUUGUUCCCCUGAGAUGUUUGGAGAUAGUAUAAAAAUGUCCAUUUUUGUGACAUUUGAAAUAAAGCAACAAUAAAUAAACAAGCAAACAUUUAUCCCCUCACAAUUCUUUUUCUCAUCUACAUAAAAUCGUCAUAACAAAACAACCAUUAACUUAAUAUCAUAUUAUAACAAAGCAGUAAAAUAGAAUAUUUCAUUUACACAUAAAUAAAUCAUUCAUGGAAGACAUUUGAUAUUUUUUAACUAUUCAUUAUAGUAAUUCUCUAUUACAGUGACUCUUAAUGUAAUACAUCAUUAUAUUCAAGCAAUUUAUAAAAAAUAACUGAAUUUAUUUCUGAUUUUUUUCAGGUCAAUCAGGCAAUUUUAUUUUGUUAUUAAAUGCCUUGUUCACACGUACAUUUAAUUCGAAUUGAAUUUAAAUCAAUUGUGAAUCGAAUUCGCUAACCGCAUUCACACACUCUUCCUUUUUAAUUCGAAUUGAUUUAAAUUGACUAAUAGCACUAACCAAUUUGCAUUAGAAGUCUGUUUUUGUUGAUACGAAUUAAAGUUAAUAUCGUUCUGGCAGUAUCGCAAAUUUGAUGCGUAUUGCAAUUCGAAUUAGAAUUUACGUUUGGACGUAAAACAUUUCGAAUGGGAAUGAAACUAAUUCGAAUUAGUUAAUGCGAAUCAAAUUCGAAUUACGUGUGCAUGCAGUAUUAAUAUGUUACGAACAUGUCUAAAAGCAUAAUAAUUUGCCCAUUCU
rnacentral:lncRNA from 1 species